UGGGCCUGCGCCGCCUCGGGACCGGGGUCAGGGAGCUCCUGCCUGCCUGGAUGAAGAGGAGGUCAAGACUUUGUCCCCCACUCCGCAAGAUACCCUCUCUGUUCCGGAGCGGUGGGUCCCUCCCCUGUUAGGACCUUGUCUCCCUCAGGACUGGACCUGGAUCCUGGGCCUGCAGUCAGAUUGCCAGUUUCACUUAGAGGUGGAAAUGUCAACCCACUGGUUGGAAUGGGAAGAGACUGGGUCCCACCAUAUUGCCUGGGCUGGCCUCGGACUCUUGACCCCAAGUGAUCCUCUGGCCUCAGCCUCCCAAGCAGCUGGAUUUACAGGCAGGCACCACCGCACCGAGCUAAAAACGCCUGGCUUCCCUGGGCCUGCUGCACCUGCUCUGGCUAGGUUGGAGAGGGCUGCAGGGAGGACCGCAGUCAGCAGAGGGCGCCAAAGCCUCUCAACACAAGCAUGGCCCAGGCCUGGCCCAGAAGGAGAGCGCUGAGAGCCAGGACUGGCGGGCUACGUGCGCCCUGUGGAUUCCCCCAUUUCCCAUGCUUCAUCCAGCCAUGGGCCUGCAGUGCACUCACAAAUGUGCAUAUACCCUCCUGUGUGUGUGUUACACUCAUCAAAUUGUCUCUGAAUUUGCUUGGCUUCAUGUGUUCCUGUGUGUGUUUAUGUGUGUGUGUGGUGUGUCUGGUGUAUCUGGUUCCCCAGGAAGCACAUUUGACAGCCCCACAGUCAGGGUCAGGGCACAGGGACAGAUACUGUGUCUAUAACAAUCCAUAACACUGAUUUUGUUCAUCUCAAUAAAUGUGAGAAUGAAAUAAAAAUUAAUGUAGAAUAUUUUGUACAUCUCAAUAAAGCCACUUUCUGGGGGCAGGCAUUAUAAUUCUAGCCUCUGUUCUACUGUUUGAUAGGUAAAGAAUAACUUUCCACAUAGGGAGAGGAAUGGACAGCUACCCAGCCCUCCCACUGUUACAGGCCUGGGCUAGAAGCUUUCCAUCUAGGCUCCUGGUUG
rnacentral:lncRNA from 1 species